rnacentral:rRNA from 1 species
GGCGGCGUGCCUAACACAUGCAAGUCAACUUGACUGAAGGAGCAAUCUGACAGUAGAGUGGCGCAAGGGUGCGUAACGCGUAAGUAACUUGCCCCAAGGUAAGGAAUAACGUCGAGAAAUCGGCGCUAAUACCUCAUAAUGCAGCGGAUCCGCAUGGAUAUGUUGUUAAAGGUUUACCGCCCUGGGAUAGGCUUGCGUCUGAUUAGUUAGUUGGUGUGGUAACGGCACACCAAGGCUACGAUCAGUAACUGGUCUGAGAGGAUGAUCAGUCACACUGGAACUGAGACACGGUCCAGACUCCUACGGGAGGCAGCAGUGAGGAAUAUUGGGCAAUGCUCGAAAGAGUGACCCAGCAACGCCGCGUGGAGGAUGAAGGUAUUCUAUAUCGUAAACUCCUGUGAGAGCAGACGAAAGACAGAUUAUUAAUCUGGAUGACUGUAUGCUCAGAGGAAGCCCCGGCUAACUACGUG